rnacentral:rRNA from 1 species
GACAGAGGAUGCAAGCGUUAUCCGGAAUGAUUGGGCGUAAAGCGUCUGUAGGUGGCUUUUUAAGUCUGCCGUCAAAUCCCAGGGCUUAACCCUGGACAGGCGGUGGAAACUACCAAGCUGGAGUACGGUAGGGGCAGAGGGAAUUUCCGGUGGAGCGGUGAAAUGCGUAGAGAUCGGAAAGAACACCAACGGCGAAAGCAGGUACCUGGACCAUUACUGACGCUCAGCUGCGAAAGCUAGGGAGCGAAUGGGA